AAGGAAGUUACGCCCUCGAGGCGGGACCUGGUUGCAGGGGGCGUCGCGGUGGGCGGGGCGGGGCUCCCGACGUCCACUCUGAGCCUUGGAUCCAGGGCAGUUUUACAGAACACUGAUAUCUAUGGAAUCUAAUAUGGACUUCAUUUAAAGAAAUUCACGGACCAUUCAUGGACAAAAACAUGAAUCAAUUUGAUUUGUGGCAUUCAAAUCGUAGCACUUUGGGAGAGCAUCAAGUACCAAGUUUUUUUGAAGACCAUGGCUUACCAUCAUAAUGCAUCAAGAUUUGAGUCGGAAUAACCUCAUCAAGACUUAAAGUCUCUUCAAAAGCUUCAAGUUUCAUCUGUGUUAAAACUCUCCAUUGAAUGCUGUCACAAAAAUAAAAGCUCUUAGGGACCAAGAUUUAUUAAUAAAUUCCAU
rnacentral:lncRNA from 1 species